rnacentral:rRNA from 1 species
CUACGGGCGGCUGCAGUGGGGAAUAUUGCACAAUGGGCGCAAGCCUGAUGCAGCCAUGCCGCGUGUAUGAAGAAGGCCUUCGGGUUGUAAAGUACUUUCAGCGGGGAGGAAGGGAGUAAAGUUAGUACCUUUGCUCAUUGACGUUACCCGCAGAAGAAGCACCGGCUAACUCCGUGCCAGCAGCCGCGGUAAUACGGAGGGUGCAAGCGUUAAUCGGAAUUACUGGGCGUAAAUCGCACGCAGGCGGUUUGUUAAGUCAGAUGUGAAAUCCCCGGGCUCAACCUGGGAACUGCAUCUGAUACUGGCAAGCUUGAGUCUCGUAGAGGGGGGUAGAAUUCCAGGUGUAGCGGUGAAAUGCGUAGAGAUCUGGAGGAAUACCGGUGGCGAAGGCGGCCCCCUGGACGAAGACUGACGCUCAGGUGCGAAAGCGUGGGGAGCAAACAGGAUUAGAUACCCGAGUAGUC